UACGUAGGGGGCAAGCGUUGUCCGGAAUCAUUGGGCGUAAAGAGCGUGUAGGCGGUCCGGUAAGUCCGCUGUGAAAGUCGGGGGCUCAACCCUCGGAUGCCGGUGGAUACUGUCGGGCUUGGGUACGGAAGAGGCGAGUGGAAUUCCUGGUGUAGCGGUGAAAUGCGCAGAUAUCAGGAGGAACACCAAUUGCGAAGGCAGCUCGCUGGGACGUUACUGACGCUGAGACGCGAAAGCGUGGGGAGCAAACAGGAUUAGAAACCCU
rnacentral:rRNA from 1 species